rnacentral:rRNA from 1 species
GCAAUGGACGAAAGUCUGACCGAGCAACGCCGCGUGAGUGAAGAAGGUUUUCGGAUCGUAAAGCUCUGUUGUAAGUCAAGAACGUGUGUGAGAGUGGAAAGUUCACACAGUGACGGUAGCUUACCAGAAAGGGACGGCUAACUACGUGCCAGCAGCCGCGGUAAUACGUAGGUCCCGAGCGUUGUCCGGAUUUAUUGGGCGUAAAGGGAGCGCAGGCGGUCAGGAAAGUCUGGAGUAAAAGGCUAUGGCUCAACCAUAGUGUGCUCUGGAAACUGUCUGACUUGAGUGCAGAAGGGGAGAGUGGAAUUCCAUGUGUAGCGGUGAAAUGCGUAGAUAUAUGGAGGAACACCAGUGGCGAAAGCGGCUCUCUGGUCUGUCACUGACGCUGAGGCUCGAAAGCGUGGGUAGCGAACAGGAUUAGAUACCCUGGUAGUCCACGCCGUAAACGAUGAGUGCUAGGUGUUAGGCCCUUUCCGGGGCUUAGUGCCGGAGCUAACGCAAUAAGCACUCCGCCUGGGGAGUACGACCGCAAGGUUGAAACUCAAAGGAAUUGACGGGGGCCCGCACAAGCGGUGGAGCAUGUGGUUUAAUUCGAAGCAACGCGAAGAACCUUAC